CCUACGGGAGGCAGCAGUAGGGAAUUUUCGGCAAUGGGGGGAACCCUGACCGAGCAACGCCGCGUGAACGAAGAAGUUAUUCGUAAUGUAAAGUUCUUUUAACAGGGAAGAAAGAGAAAUUUGACGGUACCUGAAGAAUAAGCUCCGGCUAACUACGUGCCAGCAGCCGCGGUAAUACGUAGGGAGCGAGCGUUAUCCGGAAUUAUUGGGCGUAAAGGGUGCGUAGAUGGCAUAGUAAGUCUUUUGUAAAAAUGCUGGGCUAAACCCAGUAGGGCAAAAGAUACUGCAAAGCUAGAGUAUGACAGAGGAAAGUGGAACUACAGGUGUAGGGGUGAAAUGCGUAGAUAUUAGGAGGAACACCAGUGGCGAAGGCGGCCUACUGGACGGUGACUGACGCUGAGGCUCGAAAGCGUGGGGAGCAAACAGGAUUAGAUACCCGUGUAGUC
rnacentral:rRNA from 1 species